rnacentral:miRNA from 1 species
GUGGGUGGGGGCAUCUCGGA